CGCUUUCGGCGGCGCUACGUUCGAGGUUUCUGCUUUGUGGCUGUCGGUGGCUUGCCCAAUUGGAUAAGCGCAAAGCCACCUUCUAACCAGAAAUGGUGGCUUGGGGUUCUCCUCUUCCUAUAUACAGAUAUUAAACUGCAGCGAAGGAGCAGAGUCACCUGCUGCAGGUGGGGGGGAAAACUGAUCAAAAGAGACGCCGAAGGCAGAGAAUCGCGCAGCGGACAGAGAUUUCCGCGAGGAUGCAACUAUCUGCAUGCAAAAUCACACCCCUCUACAAAAAGGAUGGAGAUGCUGAUGGCAUAACACUGUUUUGUCAUUUUCCUUCCUUGGACACCCUUUUCAAGACAUCCAUAUUCUAUAUAUGUAGCAUGAAAGUCAGGACAUAUUAUGAACAUGACGUAUCAUUUCAUCUAAGAACUUAUUGAUGUUUUCUUCACAGCAAGACAGUGACAGGAUACUGCAAUCAAAAGUAUUUUCAGAGCUGAAGAUGUCUCAGCAAAAAGCCUUCUAUGAUAUCCUUUUCAAAUAGACUGAAGCAAGAAUACAACCCAUGCCUGAAGCAAGGGUGGUUUGAAGAGGACCUUCCAUCUUGCCAGGUGUGCAAGGAGAGUUUUGCAGCAGUGAACUCUGGCCCUUCCUUCUCUUUGUUGUUCUCUUCUUUCCCUGCGGACUUUAAGAUCUUAGGAGCAGUACUGGACCAUGGGUGGAGCUCUAACUACAAAAGGAAGAGGCUGGUGGCACCUGAGCAUGCGGGGAAUCUGCUAGAAGAAGAUACAUGGGUGAGUGAGGAGAACACAAGAAGAUGCAUGUGAGAGGGUGCGGCAGCUGCUAGAAGAAAGGACAGGGUGGUUGGUGGUAAAGAAGAAGCUGGUUCCAGCACACCAACAUGGGAAGAAAGGGGAAGCAGAGCUGUUGUAAGAUGCCUCCCCCCCCCCAACGCCAACACAGUAAGACUGUAAAACCAACUGUUUCUUUUUUCAGCUGCACUUAGAAUAACAGCCAGUAGUAACAGACCCAACAGAUUCCAAAGUGGCUAAAAAAAAUUGUUACAGCCCGGGCAACAAAUGAGAAAAAAAAAAAUUAUGCGACUGUCCGUAUUGUUUUGUUGUGGUGGUUGAAAUUUUCCAAGAUUCAUGAACUCUAACUGGCUAAAAA